UACGUAGGUGGCAAGCGUUGUCCGGAAUUAUUGGGCGUAAAGCGCGCGCAGGCGGUCUCUUAAGUCUGAUGUGAAAGCCCCCGGCUCAACCGGGGAGGGUCAUUGGAAACUGGGAGACUUGAGUGCAGAAGAGAAGAGUGGAAUUCCACGUGUAGCGGUGAAAUGCGUAGAGAUGUGGAGGAACACCAGUGGCGAAGGCGACUCUUUGGUCUGUAACUGACGCUGAGGCG
rnacentral:rRNA from 1 species